rnacentral:rRNA from 1 species
CAGCCGCCACGGGAAUACGUAGGUGGCAAGCGCUGUCCGGAAUUAUUGGGCGUAAAGGGCUCGCAGGCGGUUUCUUAAGUCUGAUGUGAAAGCCCCCGGCUCAACCGGGGAGGGUCAUUGGAAACUGGGAAACUUGAGUGCAGAAGAGGAGAGUGGAAUUCCACGUGUAGCGGUGAAAUGCGUAGAGAUGUGGAGGAACACCAGUGGCGAAGGCGACUCUCUGGUCUGUAACUGACGCUGAGGAGCGAAAGCGUGGGGAGCGAACAGGAUUAGAUACCCGGGUAGUCCCUGUCUCUUAUAC